rnacentral:rRNA from 1 species
UACAGAGGAGCCAAGCGUUGUCCGGAUUGACUGGGCGUAAAGCGCACGCAGGCGGCACCGCGCGUGGGGUGUGAAAUCUGGCCGCUUAACGGCCAGGCGCCAUCCCCAUACGGCGGGAGCUGGAGUGAUGCAGAGGUCGGUGGAAUUGCCGGUGUAGUGGUGAAAUGCGUAGAGAUCGGCAGGAACACCCAGGGGAAACCGAGC